rnacentral:rRNA from 1 species
UACAGAGGGUGCAAGCGUUGUUCGGAAUUACUGGGCGUAAAGCGUGCGCAGGCGGCUUCUCAAGUCAGGGGUGAAAGCCCAGAGCUCAACUCUGGAAUUGCCUUUGAGACUGAGUGGCUUGAGUACGAGAGAGGUGAGUGGAAUUCCCAGUGUAGAGGUGAAAUUCGUAGAUAUUCGCAAGAACACCAGUGGCGAAGGCGGCUCACUGGCCCGAUACUGACGCUGAGGCACGAAAGCGUGGGGAGCAAACAGG